ncrna:unclassified sequences RT-2 RNA
CACGGUCUGACGCAGUAACCGCCGGAAGGCGGCGAAGCAGUACCCAUGCAGAAGGAGAGAUUAUUCCCGGCAAAAGCCAAAACAAUCCGCCGGUGCAGACGGCUGGACGCUGCUUGCAUGGCAGGCCGAUGUGCGCGGGCCUGUUUCAUAGCCGGACUGCCACGAGGGUAGAACGCGCACCCGACAAUCAUCCCUUACGGCGGGUGCCCGAACGGGCAAGGAGAA